CUUGAUCGAACCGAGGUACAGCGGCUCGGACCGGUCCUGGCCGUAGGUGGCCAGCACGGCCUGCGCCUC
rnacentral:antisense_RNA from 1 species